UAGAUAGAAUUUCUUGCGUGGUCUACCC
rnacentral:sRNA from 1 species